GUCGGCACCUGUGCAUUCUGCUCCUUCUCCAGGAGGCACCUGUGCUCCUGUCUGAGGAGCCCCAGCAGGCCCCGCUGGUUGUGGGAGGCACACUGUGGAUGAAGGAGGUGCUGUGCACACAGAGCCAGUCGCGCGGCUGCAGGGCCCGGGGGACAUGUUGUGUCUUCAUGAACCAUGGAGGUCCCUCACCUUCCAGGGAGGAUGUCGUCACAGAAUCCCUGCCAGGCCCUUGCUGCUUCCACAAGAACAAGCUUCUGACUUUAAGGUGUAGGAGACACUCACCGUCAUGGAUGGAUGCCGCAGAGUCCUGUUGUCCUCCUCUGGGUUCAGUGACAGCAAAUGCAGUACAAGGAGAAAGGAAGGAAGACUGAUGCUUGUGACACAUCCCUGGUGGCCAUGUGGAGAGGUGAAUAGAACAAUCUAGAACCAGUUGUUCACUGCGUUCAAUUAUGUGAAGCACGUAACGUGUCUUAUUUUCUUUGUGCAAAUUGUGUAACUGAGACACCAUGGGAUGGAUUUUACGAUGUCAGAUUUGCUCGGC
rnacentral:lncRNA from 1 species